GACGAACGCUGGCGGCGUGCUUAACACAUGCAAGUCGAACGGAAAGGCCCUGCUUUUGUGGGGUGCUCGAGUGGCGAACGGGUGAGUAACACGUGAGUAACCUGCCCUUGACUUUGGGAUAACUUCAGGAAACUGGGGCUAAUACCGGAUAGGAGCUCCUGCUGCAUGGUGGGGGUUGGAAAGUUUCGGCGGUGGGGGAUGGACCCGCGGAUUAUCAGCUUGUUGGUGGGGUAGGGGCUUACCAAGGCGUUGACGGUUAGCUGGCUUGGGGGGGUGACCGGCCACAUGGGAACGGGGAAACGGCCCGACUUCCAACGGGGGGCAGAGGUGGGGAAUUUGGAACAAGGGGCGAAAGCCGGAGCCAGAAAGACCGGGUGGGGGAAGAAGGCCUAGGGUUGUUGAACGGCUUUGCCAUCGAGGGAGCGUUCAUGACGGGAAUGGGUAAAGAAGCACCGGCUAACUACGUG
rnacentral:rRNA from 1 species